GUGUGUAUGUAAUUUCUCAGUUUUAUUAAUAAAGUUGUUGUAAUUGUAUUUUGUAAACUGUCAUUUCUGUUGUAACUGUUGAUUGUAAUGAUCUGUUGGAUUUGGGCCAUGGGCCUUUAAAGCGUUGGGUUGUAACUGUUGUAAUUGUUGGAAUUGGGCCUUGGGCCGUUAAAACAUUAGGUUUAAUUUAGGAUUUGAUUUAGGGUUUAGGA